UAGUCCACGCCGUAAACGAUGUCUACUUGGAGGUUGUGGCCUUGAGCCGUGGCUUUCGGAGCUAACGCGUUAAGUAGACCGCCUGGGGAGUACGGUCGCAAGGUUAAAACUCAAAGAAAUUGACGGGGACCCGCACAAGCGGUGGAGCAUGUGGUUUAAUUCGAUGCAACGCGAAGAACCUUACCUACCCUUGACAUCCUGGAAAACUCACGUAAUGGUGAGUGUGCCUUCGGGAAUUCAGUGACAGGUGCUGCAUGGCUGUCGUCAGCUCGUGUUGUGAAAUGUUGGGUUAAGUCCCGUAACGAGCGCAACCCUUAUCCUUAAUUGCCAGCGUGUAAUGGCGGGGACUUUAAGGAGACUGCCGGCGAUAAGCCGGAGGAAGGUGGGGACGACGUCAAGUCAUCAUGGCCCUUACGGGUAGGGCUACACACGUGCUACAAUGGAGCGUACAGAGGGUUGCCAAACCGCAAGGUGGAGCGUAAUCCCUUAAAGCGCCUCGUAGUCCGGAUUGGAGUCUGCAACUCGACUCCA
rnacentral:rRNA from 1 species